AGUUGCAACCGAAAAACUUUCAUUCCCACUUCGAUUUCACCAUUGUUGCAUAAAUUAUCCAACAAUAUCGAUUUCCCCUUCCAGACGUUGAAUCCUCACUUUUAGCUUCUAUGUGGGUUUCCCCCAAUUCGGUGAGCCCACCACCAAACAUUAGUUUGGUUGGCUGUAAUGGUAUUACAGCCUGAAUCCAUUCCAGCUCUAUUACGGGAAAACGUUGAAUAGGCAUUCCCUUCCUUCACCAGUGAAUAGCCAUUCCAUUCCACGGGAGUAAAUUUUUUUUCUUCCCAUUUUCAUUUUUUGCCCUCAGCUUCAUCUUCUCCUUUCCUUUCCAUCUCUGCGUUUCCCUUUUUUUCCUUCUUAUUUCCCCAUCUGCUGCUACUGUAGGAAUGCUGAGAGAUUACCUUCUUUCUUUUUCAUUUUUAGCCUCAUUUUUCAUCAUCCUCCUUUCUGCAGUUUCAACUACAGCCUCUACGUUCAUUACCUUCUCCAUUUAUAAAGCCCUGAACACCAUUGCCCCUCACCAAUUUUUUCAAUCUUUUCCUCGUAGCAAUCGAGAGCGUAGAAAUUUCCCAAUUAAGGGCAAAAUCUUCAGCAAGGAAAAAAAUUCAGACUUAAUUGAAGAACACAUUACAUUCUGGUUUUGAUUUCAAAGCGAUUCAAGAUAAGGUUUCCCUUCAUUUAAGACCUUGGCAUCGUUCAUUUCAGUUCUGGGUUCGAGCAGUUGAUAUUUAUGGGCUAUAAAUGAUGUUGAUGUUCCUCAGGUGCAACACUAUCGGCUUUUUCUGAAAGAACAUGUUGUUUUUAAGGAGGUAUUGUAUUCUUGAAUGUGUCUUAAUGAAAUGAUGGAGGUUUAGACUUGGAAGAAAUUUAGAUCAGGAAGAAAAUCCAGGAACUUUUAGAAAGAGUUCAUUUUAUGAUAUUUGAUUUUUAUAGGCUAUUCCAAUUAAAAAUCGCCUCGCCCUGUCAAAGAUACACCAGACAUACAGAGUUCAUUUUCUUUCUAUAAGUAUUAUCAUAGGGAUAUAAUUAUUAAGGUUCCAAAUGCUUUCAUCCUUGUUCCUUGCUGUGGCAUCUUUAAACACUAUUUGUGCUAAUUCUUUUACUGAAAGUUGUUUCCCCUCCUUAUAUCUAUAGAUGAGGUUUUUCCAUAAUUAAUUUUGUAGGAAUUAUUUGUUGCAUUUUUUUCAUUAUUUAUUGCAUGAGGUUAAUGGCUUGCUUGAGUUUUUCCAAGGUUCUUGGUAGUUAUAUCAAUUUUUGGUAAUUAUUUCUGGUUUGAAGCUGGUUAUAUAUUAUUGGAUCAUGGUGAUCAUUAUAUGUGUGCUUUGACUAAUCAAAUCUUGGUGGUAAUACAUUCCACGCUGUGUGUAAGUAGGAAUUUUUGUUCAUUUCAUCAAACCUAGGUGAAAUUUGUAAAUUAUGAGCCCCAACUCUUUUGCAAGUGAGCUGUAAAUUUGUCAUUGAUGUUCUUUUGUAUCAUUAAAUUUCUAUAAUUUCAGGAAUGAUGGAUUUCACAAGGUAAGUUUUUUAUUAAAUUUUUGCUUAUGUGCCAAGAGUCAAGAGUGGCUCAGAUGCCUUGAUCAAUGGCUGAGCCAUAAUAAUGGUCUCUAUACUGUGAUGGUAUACUGAAAGUGUGACUUCCAAGAACAAGUUCUAUUUACUGCAUUAUUUUCAGGUACUUUGGAUUAUAAAAGAAUUAGACAAAUGUGGUUGCUCUUUCAGAAGCGUAAGAGUGUGAUUCAGAUGCACCAAAGGAAAAUUUACGAUGAGGAAUGUCUGAAGAUUGAUAACAGUGAAAAGUAUACUUUGAAUAGGCAGUUAUUCGAAUCAAUAUCAAAGUCUCUCAAUGAAGCUGAAACGAAGGAAGAGAUUGAUGGCGUGGAUACAAAGUAGACUUUGAAUAAAGCUGUUAUCUGGGUUCAACAUAAUCUGCACCAUCUACGAUUUAUGUUAUUUGGAUUCGUUCCAUUGUAGGUGUUGAGUAGGGUAUGUAUGAUGUAUCUAGUGUAGGUUUAUUCAAUAUUUUUGAGAUUUUUAUGUACAAAAUUCUUAAAAGAUCCAUGUUUCAAUGUUAAUAAUACUAUAUGCUAUUUGCUCAAA